GUAGGGGGCAAGCGUUAUCCGGAUUUACUGGGUGUAAAGGGAGCGUAGACGGCAUGGCAAGCCAGAUGUGAAAGCCCGGGGCUCAACCCCGGGACUGCAUUUGGAACUGUCAGGCUAGAGUGUCGGAGAGGAAAGCGGAAUUCCUAGUGUAGCGGUGAAAUGCGUAGAUAUUAGGAGGAACACCAGUGGCGAAGGCGGCUUUCUGGACGAUGACUGACGUUGAGGCUCGAAAGCGUGGGGAGCAAACAGGAUUAGAUACCCUGGUAGUCCACGCCGUAAACGAUGACUACUAGGUGUCGGGUAGCAAAGCUGUUCGGUGCCGCAGCAAACGCAAUAAGUAGUCCACCUGGGGAGUACGUUCGCAAGAAUGAAACUCAA
rnacentral:rRNA from 1 species